GGGGUUGUGGCUCAGUGGUAGAGCGCUUGCCUAGCAUGCACAAGGUACUGGGUUCGAUCCUCAGCACCA
rfam:Ictidomys tridecemlineatus contig122096, whole genome shotgun sequence.